GACGUAGGGCGCGAGCGUUGUCCGGAUUUAUUGGGCGUAAAGAGCUCGUAGGCGGUGUGUCGCGUCGGAUGUGAAAGCCCCGGGGCUUAACUUCGGGUCUGCAUUCGGUACGGCAUGCUGGAGGUUCGGUAGGGGAGACUGGAAUUCCUGGUGUAGCGGUGAAUGCGCAGAUAAUCAGGAGGAACACCGGUGGCGAAGGCGGGUCUCGUGGGCCGAGUGACUGACGCUGAGGA
rnacentral:rRNA from 1 species